UAGUAAUCGUGGAUCAGCAUGCCACGGUGAAUACGUUCCCGGGUCUUGUACACACCGCCCGUCACACCAUGGGAGCUGGUAACACCCGAAGUCAGUAGUCUAACCGCAAGGAGGACGCUGCCGAAGGUGGGAUUAGCGACUGGGGUGAAGUCGUAACAAGGUACC
rnacentral:rRNA from 1 species